GACGAACGCUGGCGGCGUGCUUAACACAUGCAAGUCGAGCGGUAAGGCCCUUUCGGGGGUACGACGAGCGGCGAACGGGUGAGUAACACGUGGGUGACCUGCCCUUAGCUCUGGGAUAAGCCUGGGAAACUGGGUCUAAUACCGGAUAUGACUCCAUAACGCAUGUUGUGGGGUGGAAAGCCUUGUGCGGCUAGGGAUGGGCCCGCGGCCUAUCAGCUUGUUGGUGGGGUGAUGGCCACCAAGGCGACGACGGGUAGCCGGCCUGAGAGGGCGGAUCGGCCACACUGGGGACUGAGACACGGCCCAGACUCCUACGGGAGGCAGCAGUGGGGAAUCUUGCGCAAUGGGCGAAAGCCUGACGCAGCGACGCCGCGU
rnacentral:rRNA from 1 species